rnacentral:misc_RNA from 1 species
UGUUCUCCCCAGCCCCAAGUG